rnacentral:sRNA from 1 species
AGCGAAUGCAGGCUUCGCUGAAGCCUGGAGAGCGAGAGGCAUCGGUGCGCACCGACCCUCUCGCUCUCCAGGCUUCAGGAAGCUAUCCGCAAGCCUUCCAAGCCCGGUGGGAGUUCCCGCGGGCUUGCAAGGCUUGCC